CAGCGGCCUGCCCGCUGCUGGGCUCCCCCAGGCUGAAACCCCGACCAGAAGGCCAGAGUUGGGACUGCCCUGCCAAUGAGGGAGGGGGCCAGCCGCCCCACCCCCUCCCCAGCCCAGCACCCGGGAAGGCCUAGGAGGAGCCUCCCUGCCGGCCAGAGGAGAUAGCGGGAUGAGGCACCUGACUCUCUGAAGCCAUUAGGAGAAUGAGUCAGGAGAGCAGGAAGGACACACAUACGCAACACACUUUGAAGUCCUUUCCAGAAAGACCAUGCCAGAAGCUCUCAGGAAGAGUGACUACUCCCCCCAGUCUCCUGACAAGGACCCGCAGAGGGAAACCCAUUCACAGCUAUCUUCCCAGCCCAAGAGUGAUUUAGAUGCAUGCCGCCCUCCACCCAGCCCCUCAUAAGCACCUACACCCCCAGUAGGGAUGACAGCCCAAAGGGAGGUGGGGAUGGGCCCUGUGCCAAACCAGGGACAGAGAAGGCGGAAGGAGGGAAGGAGGGAAGGAGGGGCUGGUCAGACUGGAAUGGCAGCCUGGGGCGGGUGGGGUGGGGAUGACAAUCAGCUCCCCACUUGGUCCCCUCCCCCACAGUGUCACUGUUGGACAGGGGCAGGCUCAGCUUAGAGGGACCACACUGAGGUCUGGCGCCCAAAGCAGCAAUCUGGGGCCCUUCCUGGUCAGAGCCACACCCACUGCGCCCCCACCUCCCUGACACAAGAGUGAGCAUCAAGUGGACUGUGAGGGACCCUGUGGCUUUGAAUCCAUAGGGUUGGUCUUGAUCUCCUCCAAGGGAAACCCCCUUUUGCUGGGGCAACUUAGAACAGCCCAUGGCUAAAAGUGUUUGCAUUCUAUUUGUCCUUUUCCUCUGACCAGAAACCCCAGCCACACCCUCCCCUGGAGCCCCAAGCCAGGGUUUCAGCAGCAACAGAUGAGGCCAAGCUGGCCUCACUAAUGGCCCCGCCCUGGGCUUCUGUGGAGGCAGAAGGGAGAAGGCCUAGGACCAGGGCCAAGCACUGAGAGAGCAGAAAACCGGAUUGGGGCAGCCCGCAGGUACAGUUCCUUGUAAGGCAGUCUUUGGUACCUGUUCUGCACACAGCUGCCCGCCCACCACCAACAAAAGGGACAAUGUUUCCAGUGAUCACACCCAGCCCAAAACCUUUCCUGGAGAGAAGCAUAACCCCCCCCCCAUCCACAAGGCAAUUAGAGAGCACACCACAACAAGAGGGUUUUUGUUUUGGGUUUUUUUUUUUUUCAUAAUUUCUUUAUUAGGGGAUUAAUGUUUUACAAUCAACAGUAAAUACAAUAGUUUGUACAUGCAUAACAUUUCUCAGUUUUCCACAUAGCAAUGCAACUAUGUCCUCUGUCAUCCUUUCUGGACCCCUACUCUCCUCCUCACGCACCCCAGAGUCUUUUACUUUAGAGCAAUACACCAACUCCCAUUCAGGUUCUACUUGUGUUUUCUUAGAAGAGGGUUUUUUUAAAAGAAAGGUUUUGUUACUUGGGGGGAGGGAACUUAUGCUAAAGUAAAUAAAUUAUGUAUGCAUGUAUGUAUGUUCCUGCCCCCAAGCUGACUGAGACAGAGGGUUUAUAGCAAUAGAAGCUCUCUCACCUGCACAUCAGCUGUCAGGCUCAGGUAAAAAUUACUAAAGUCAUGGGCCCCUUGAAACAUACCUAAAAUAGACUUCCUAGCUUCUUCUCACCCUCAUUUUAUCUGCUCUACCUAUCUACCUACCUACCUUUGGGUUCCUGUUUAUUGAACAAUUUGUCCUGCUUUGUAUCUUACUGCCCUCAGCUACCAAGUUGCAGGCACUACUAUGAUUCCUUCCUUCCAUCCAAGCUUCCCUGGGCAGACGACCUCACCAAUGUGUCCCAAAACCUCACCUCCCCAGAGCCCUGCCCCACUAGGGAAAGAUAGAAACAGGCUGGGGGUAUGGAUUGACCUGCCAAUGCCCAUGUCCAGCAGAGAGAACCAUUGCAGAAGCCACUUUCUGCACCCCCAAAAGAAUUUUGG